GUCUAUAGUAGUACCACUCUGAAUAUGUCUGACAUAGUCUGAUCUCAGAAAUUAAGCAGGAUUAGGCCAGUUAGUACUUGGAUGGGAGAAACAGCAGCAUGUACAAUAUGCA
rnacentral:rRNA from 1 species